rnacentral:rRNA from 1 species
GAUGAACGCUGGCGGCGUGCCUAAUACAUGCAAGUCGAGCGAACAGACGAGGAGCUUGCUCCUCUGACGUUAGCGGCGGAUGGGUGAGUACCACGUGGAUAACCUACCUAUGAGACUGGGAUCACUUCGGGAAACCGGAGCUAACACCGGAUAAUAUAUUGAACCGCAUGGUUCAAUAGUGAACGCCGGUUCUGCUGACACUUAUAGAUGUUUCCGCGCCGCAUUAGCUAGUUGGUACGGUAACGGCUUACCAAGGCGACGAUGCGUAGCCGACCUGAGAGGGUGAUCGGCCACACUGGAACUGAGACACGGUCCAGACUCCUACGGGAGGCAGCAGUAGGGAAUCUUCCGCAAUGGGCGAAAGCCUGACGGAGCAACGCCGCGUGAGUGAUGAAGGUCUUCGGAUCGUAAAACUCUGUUAGUAGGGAAGAACAAAUGUGUAAGUAACUAUGCACGUCUUGACGGUACCUAAUCAGAAAGCCACGGCUAACUACGUG